AUAUAGGAAGCUAAUAGAGCAAGAGAGGAUGGUGAACGGAGAAAGAGGGAGAGGGCUCGUCGGUACGGAGAUAGAAGGCGCAGAAGGCACGAUCCACGUGAUUACAUGGAUGAUUACUAAGAAUGAAUCCGUUGACUCUCUCUCUCUCUUUUAUAUUCUUCAUUGUCAUAGAUCCCCCAAAGAGUGAUAACUCACCCCUAUUAGCACUAUUUUGUAAUUACUGUUAUUGCUUUUAAAUGUAUCAAAUAACAAGUUGAAGUCUCUUUCGGAAUCAAUUGGGAGUUGUUUCUCUCUUGAAGAAUUACAAGCAAAUAGUGGGGAUUCAAUCAGAUGCAGUGGAUAUUAGUGCAGCUACUUGAACGUGAGAGGUAGGGUCCAAGGAAAUUGAUGAAAAGGCUGAUGAGGUCCUAAAGUGGGAUAUUUUGGAUUGUUGGACGCCAGAAAAUCACUACGGAUGGACUGAAUCUGAGUGUUAAACAUGUUGGGUUUAGACCAUCGGUAAUGAUUUUCUGGAGUCCAACAAUCCAGAAUAUCCCACUUUUGAACCUCAUCAGCCUUUUCAUCAGUUUCCUUGGAUCCUACCAAUCAUG